GAUGAACGCUGGCGGCGUGCCUAACACAUGCAAGUCGAACGGAAAGGCCCUGCUUGCGUGGGGUGCCCGAGGGGCGAACGGGGGAGUAACACGUGAGUAACCGGAUCUUGAUUUUGGGAUAACUUCAGGAAAGUGGGGCUAAUACCGGAUAGGAGCUCCUGCAGCAUGGUGGGCGUUGGAAAGUUUCGGCGGGUGGGGAUGGACUCGCGGCUUACCAGCUUGUUGGUGGGGUAGUUGCAGACCAAGGCAUGGACGGGUAGGCGGCCUGAGAGGGUGACCGGCCACAUUGGGACUGAGAUACGGCCCAGACUCCUACGGGAGGCAGCAGUGGGGAAUAUUGCACAGUGGGCGGAAGCCUGAUGCAGCAACGCCGCGUGCGGGAUGACGGCCUUCGGGUUGUAAACCGCUUUCGCCUGUGACGAAGCGUGAGUGACGGUAAUGGGUAAAGAAGCACCGGCUAACUACGUG
rnacentral:rRNA from 1 species